rnacentral:lncRNA from 1 species
UGGUUAACAAGGAUAUUUGUUUUAAAAAUAUUUAUUUUUAUCUAUAGGUCUGGCUUCCUGCCUCCCAGCAGCACACACUUCCAGUCCAAUAACCAGACACCAGAGCCCAAGGUCCUGCUCGCUGCAGCUAGAACAGUUGCCCUUCUUGUCUGCUACGGAGUGAAAAACAGGAAUGUUGUGGAUUAAAUUCAAGAUGCCCUAUAUCACCAAUCACCAGUCAGUCCCUGUGAUGGUUUGUAUAUCCUUGGACCAGGGAGUGGCACCAUCUGAAGGUAUGGCCUUGUUGGAAUAGGUGUGACCUGGUUGGAAUGGGUGUGUCACUGUAAGUGUGGGUAUAAGAUCCUCACCCUAGUUGCCUGGAAAUCAGUCUUCCACUAGCAGCCUUUGGAUAGAGACAUAGAACUCUCAGCUCCUGUGCCAUGCCUGCCUGGAUACUGCCAUGCUCCCACCUUGAUGAUAAUAGACUGAACCUCUGAACCUAUAAGCCAG